rnacentral:rRNA from 1 species
UACGUAGGUGGCAAGCGUUAUCCGGAUUUAUUGGGUGUAAAGGGCGUGUAGGCGGGAGCGCAAGUCAGAUGUGAAAACUCAGGGCUCAACCCUGAGCCUGCAUUUGAAACUGUGUUUCUUGAGUGCUGGAGAGGCAAUCGGAAUUCCGUGUGUAGCGGUGAAAUGCGUAGAUAUAUGGAGGAACACCGGUGGCGAAAGCGGCUCUCUGGCCUGUAACUGACACUGAGGCUCGAAAGCGUGGGGAGCAAACAGG